GGAGCUUUAAACUCAUCACCAAUUACUUUUAAAUCNCUAAAAAAGGNAAAAAUGUUCUUGAUAGUUUUCGGCUGGGGUGACCCUGGAGUAAAACANACCCUCCAGAAUGAAAGGAAUAAAUCCUAACCCAAGAAUCACAAUUCUAAGAAUCAAAAACUUGACAUUAAUGAUCCAAUUACUUGAUCAACNAACCAAGUUACCCUGGGGAUAACAGCGCAAUCCAUUUCAAGAGCCCCUAUCGACAAAUGGGUUUACGACCUCGAUGUUGGAUCGGGGUAUCCUGGUGGCGCAGCCGCUACCAAAGGUUCGUUUGUUCAACGAUUAAUAACCCCACGUGAUCUG
rnacentral:rRNA from 1 species